GGGCCCGUAGCUCAGUCAGGAUAGAGCGGCGGUGGACCCAGCCUCGGUCCGCCGAGCCUCCUAAGCCGUAGGUCGUGGGUUCGAAUCCCACCGGGCCCGCCA
rnacentral:tRNA from 1 species